CUACGGGAGGCAGCAGUGGGGAAUAUUGGACAAUGGGCGCAAGCCUGAUCCAGCCAUGCCGCGUGAGUGAUGAAGGCCUUAGGGUUGUAAAGCUCUUUUGUCCGGGACGAUAAUGACGGUACCGGAAGAAUAAGCCCCGGCUAACUUCGUGCCAGCAGCCGCGGUAAUACGAAGGGGGCUAGCGUUGCUCGGAAUCACUGGGCGUAAAGGGCGCGUAGGCGGCCGAUUAAGUCGGGGGUGAAAGCCUGUGGCUCAACCACAGAAUUGCCUUCGAUACUGGUUGGCUUGAGGCCGGAAGAGGACAACGGAACUGCGAGUGUAGAGGUGAAAUUCGUAGAUAUUCGCAAGAACACCAGUGGCGAAGGCGGCUGUCUGGUCCGGUUCUGACGCUGAGGCGCGAAAGCGUGGGGAGCAAACAGGAUUAGAUACCCGAGUAGUC
rnacentral:rRNA from 1 species